CAAGGAUCGUAAAGAAAUAUUACGAUACAAAUAUUGUACAACGUUUUAUCUAAUCUGUUUUUGUAAUUUUUUAAAUUGUGUUUAUGGAGAAAAAAUAAGGCGGCUAAAUUAGUAACCGUAGUUACUGAUUUGUUUACGUUUUUCACAAGCGUUCAGUGAAAGCAAUUUAUGUGCAAAAAUUAGUGAUUCAGAGGAUAAUUUGCCUUCCGAUAUUGAAGUGGCUACUCAAUCUGUCAUCGAUACGUUAGUUCCUGGUAAAUCUAAAGAACGUUACGAGAUAGCGUACAAAUAUUUUGAUGAAUGAAUGGAAGUUAAGAAAAUUGGUGACGUUUCUGAACAAGGUGAUGCAUUCCUAUUUUGCUGAACAAGCAGAGAAGUUAAAACCAUCCUCCUUAUGGUGCCGAUAUUCCAUGUUGCGAACCCUGGUGUUGAUUACGAAGAAUGUUGAUAUUUCUGAAUAUCAUCAGGUUGUGGCUUUCUUCUCGGAAAUCAGAAGGUUCCCGACCCAGAAAAUCGUUUAUUUGUUCCAAAGAAGAGAUAAAUCAAUUUCUUAAGAAAAUGAAUGAUAAGGAUUUCUUAUUUUUGAAGUUUCAGGUUGUUUUGAUAGUCGGAGUGUUUGGUGCUUGUCGACACGAGGAGAUCACAAAUUUUACGACACGAGACGUUAGAGCCGAAAAAGAAUUUAGAUACAGAUUCACCGAUUAACAAAAUAGACGAACAACUAUUUGAAGAUGUCACUACAACUAAAAUUGUUGACAUCAUUUAUUACUUAGCUGGAUUUGUCGCAAAAAAUUGUACAAUACUUCAAAAUGUAAUAUUUGCCGUGAACAGUUAAAUAUAUAACAAAGAGGAUCCAUGUUCUAGUACAUCUGAAUUUACUAGUACAAAAUCCAGGGGGUGGUUAAACCAUCCAGAUUUGUUAAUGUUUAAUAUGUUCCGAUGGUGGAAGGGAUACUUAUGAAAUAUAUCUAUUUUGUGGAUGUAUUCGAUGCAACAAUUGAAGAGCUAUUCGUAACAAAAAUUUUUAUGACUAUUUACUUUCCUUUUUCUUGUGAAGAGCAUAGAAUGGAAAUAUUUUCAAAGGCAAUAUAUUUUUACACAAUUAUGCAAAUUAAACAAUUUUAUAAACAGGAACAAGAGAAAACAACCAAGGCAUGUGCAGAAAAAAGAAAAGAGUCUCGAUUACAGACUACGUAAUAAUGUUGUCUUGUGAAACGAACAGAAGUGAGUGAAACUAAUAUAAUAUGUGAAGACGAAAAGAACUAUCUUUAACAACGAG